UACGAAGGGGGCUAGCGUUGCUCGGAAUCACUGGGCGUAAAGCGUACGUAGGCGGCUUCUUAAGUCAGGGGUGAAAUCCUGGAGCUCAACUCCAGAACUGCCUUUGAUACUGAGGAGCUCGAGUCCGGGAGAGGUGAGUGGAACUGCGAGUGUAGAGGUGAAAUUCGUAGAUAUUCGCAAGAACACCAGUGGCGAAGGCGGCUCACUGGCCCGGUACUGACGCUGAUCUGCGAAAGCUAGGGGAGCAAACAGG
rnacentral:rRNA from 1 species